GAGGAAGUGGGAAAUAGGAGGAAGCUGUGCCUCCCCGGAGGAGCACGUGCCCUCAGAGCCAUAAGGCAGGAGCAGAGGCUGCCUGAGUUUGCAGCGCGAGGCCAGGGGGCUUCCCUGGGACUCGGCGACCGCCCUGUGCGCUCGGACGCGCAGGCAAAUCCCCGCUCCGCUGCGCCUGGUGUGCACGGAGCCCUCCUACUUGCUUCCUACGCCGCUUAUCCGUUUAUCUGCAUCGUAAAAGCCAGCGUUACUUUGUUUUCGUUUCAACUACUUUUCCAGUGCCACGGGAUUUCAUGCAAAGUGCCUUAGACGACCAGAACUGCGAGCAGACACCCCUAGCACCCCGGAAGAUGGGCUAUGGUCUCCGGCCACCUCCUGCCCGUUUCUCAUUAAAGCUUGAGAAGGAGGAGGGUGGCUGUGUCCCAGGAGCUGGGUUGGCACCCUCAGUGAGGUUGUGGGGCUCUCGUGGAGAACACAAACCAUCCCUCAGGACAGCAGCAGCAGGCAAGACCCCAGAUGGUCCUGAUCAAGACAAAGACAAGCCACUCCAGCAUCCUGUCUGAAUACAGACAGAUGGGAGCAUCUCUCAGGCCAGGAGUGCCAGCCGUGUCCCCUCCCAGCCCACAUGGUGACUGCUGCUUUGGCCUUGGUGACAGCCUGUCCUGCCCUUGUCAGGCCUCCCGGGGGAUGAGGUUUAUGAAGCUUCCAGUGUAUACCUACCUCCUCCUGCUUCCUGACAGUGCUCAACUCAGAGCCAGCCCCCUCUCCCGUUAGUCCACCCCUGGCCAGCUGGCACACACACACAGCCUGCGGCAAGGCUCUUCCAAGCCUCUCACUGCACCCUCCACAGCGCCAUGGCAUAUUCUUGCAGAAUGGAACAGUAAAUCCAGCUGUAGUUUAACAACAGGUGUGUCUCUGGUAGGCACACUAGGCAGCGGCUCAUUGGCCUGUAUUUAAAAUAUGAACAUGUGCAUGACUGCAAAGGCCUAGAUCCUCACUUUUUCCUACAAACCAGAAUUGCUGUUCUCAAAGUUUAAACCACAUUUGCAAUACAUGAGAUCGAUCCACAGCCUGAGUGGAAGGAGCCACAUGCAGGGGAUAGGGGGCCAGGCCACCCUUGGGCAGAGAAUGUGGGUGCAUGGAGAGGGUGUGUGGGGCAGGAAGGAUCCCUGAGUGUUUCGAGCAAAGAGUGUGUGAUCCUGCCUGCCCUUGGUGCCGUCCACUGGGGCUGGUCAGUGAGGCCGAGUCCAUCAUGGUGGUGGGGACACAUGGCAAAACUAGAAGCCCUGGGGGAGCUGGGGGAAGGGAGCAGGCACCCAUUAUGCUGCCGUUGCAGUUUUCUAUAAGUUCUAUAAUUAUUUCAAAAUAAAAUAUUUUAAAAUGACCAUGUCCCUAAAGGAGGGAUAAUAGUAAGCCUCACAAUAGAGAUUAGUCUGUACUCAGACCCACUUCAGCUCCAGCUGUGAAGCUUCUUCUGCUCUCCGAUUCCAGAGCCUGAUGGUGUUAAGGAGGCCCCUGUGGAUGUUACAGCGAUGUGGAUG
rnacentral:lncRNA from 1 species